GCAAGUUCCUGGGGGAGCCCCAUUGGCUCGAGACUUGCUCGAGUCAUGGGGGGCUGAGAGACCGCGCCAAGCGGGAAACCCCAGAACCUGAUCCGGGUCAUGCCGGCGUAGGGAACGGAACGCUUUUGCGCC
rnacentral:ncRNA from 2 species